GACGAACGCUGGCGGCGUGCUUAACACAUGCAAGUCGAACGGAAAGGCCCUGCUUUUGUGGGGUGCUCGAGUGGCGAACGGGUGAGUAACACGUGAGUAACCUGCCCUUGACUUUGGGAUAACUUCAGGAAACUGGGGCUAAUACCGGAUAGGAGCUCCUGCUGCAUGGGGGGGGUUGGAAAGUUUCGGCGGUUGGGGAUGGACUCGCGGCUUAUCAGCUUGUUGGUGGGGUAGUGGCUUACCAAGGCUUUGACGGGUAGCCGGCCUGAGAGGGUGACCGGCCACAUUGGGACUGCGAUACGGCCCAGACUCCUACGGGAGGCAGCAGUGGGGAAUAUUGCACAAUGGGCGGAAGCCUGAUGCAGCAACGCCGCGUGCGGGAUGACGGCCUUCGGGUUGUAAACCGCUUUCGCCUGUGACGAAGCGUGAGUGACGGUAAUGGGUAAAGAAGCACCGGCUAACUACGUG
rnacentral:rRNA from 1 species